rnacentral:rRNA from 1 species
AGGAUGAACGCUGGCGGCGUGCCUAACACAUGCAAGUCGAACGAGAAAGUGGAGCAAUCCAUGAGUAAAGUGGCGCACGGGUGAGUAACACGUGACUAACCUACCCUUGAGUGGGGGAUAACCUAGGGAAACCUGGGCUAAUACCGCAUAAUACCUUCGGGUCAAAGGAGCAAUUCGCUUAAGGAGGGGGUCGCGGCCGAUUAGUUAGUUGGCGGGGUAAUGGCCCACCAAGACGAUGAUCGGUAUCCGGCCUGAGAGGGCGCACGGACACACUGGAACUGAAACACGGUCCAGACUCCUACGGGAGGCAGCAGUGGGGAAUUUUGCGCAAUGGGGGAAACCCUGACGCAGCAACGCCGCGUGGAGGAUGAAGCCCCUUGGGGCGUAAACUCCUUUCGAUCGGGACGAUUAUGACGGUACCGGAAGAAGAAGCCCCGGCUAACUUCGCGCCAGCAGCCGC